rnacentral:rRNA from 1 species
AACGAACGCUGGCGGCGUGCUUAACACAUGCAAGUCGAACGAUGAAGCCGGAGCUUGCUCUGGUGAAUUAGUGGCGAACGGGUGAGUAACACGUGAGUAACCUGCCCUUGACUCUGGGAUAACUGCGGGAAACUGUAGCUAAUACCGGAUACGACCCUCGGAGGCAUCUCCUGGGGGUGGAAAGAAUUUCGGUCAAGGAUGGACUCGCGGCCUAUCAGCUAGUUGGUGAGGUAAAGGCUCACCAAGGCGACGGAGGGUAUCCGGCCUGAGAGGGUGACCGGCCAAACUGGGACAGAGACACGGCCCAGACUCCUACGGGAGGCAGCAGUGGGGAAGAUUGCACGAUGGGCGCAAGCCUGAUGCAGCAACGCCGCGUGAGGGAUGACGGCCUUCGGGUUGUAAACCUCUUUUAGCAGGGAAGAAGCGAAAGUGACGGUACCUGCAGAAAAAGCACCGGCUAACUACGUGCCAGCCGCCGCGGUAA